rnacentral:rRNA from 1 species
UACGGAGGGAGCUAGCGUUGUUCGGAAUUACUGGGCGUAAAGCGCACGUAGGCGGCUUUGUAAGUAAGAGGUGAAAGCCUGGAGCUCAACUCCAGAAUAGCCUUUUAGACUGCAUCGCUUGAAUCCGGGAGAGGUGAGUGGAAUUCCGAGUGUAGAGGUGAAAUUCGUAGAUAUUCGGAAGAACACCAGUGGCGAAGGCGGCUCACUGGACCAUUACUGACGCUGAGGCGCGAAAGCGUGGGGAGCAAACAGG